AUGAACGCUAGCGGCAGGCCUAAUACAUGCAAGUCGAGGGGUAAGAGUCAGCUUGCUGACUACACGACCGGCGCACGGGUGCGUAACGCGUAUGCAACCUACCUUUAACAGAGGAAUAGCCCCGAGAAAUCGGGAUUAAUACCACAUAACAUUAUGAUAUGGCAUCAUAUUAUAAUUAAAACUCCGGUGGUUAAAGAUGGGCAUGCGUGACAUUAGCUAGUUGGUGAGGUAACUGCUCACCAAGGCUACGAUGUCUAGGGGUUCUGAGAGGAUGAUCCCCCACACUGGUACUGAGACACGGACCAGACUCCUACGGGAGGCAGCAGUAAGGAAUAUUGCGCAAUGGAGGCAACUCUGACGCAGCCAUGCCGCGUGCAGGAUUGAAGGCCUUAUGGGUCGUAAACUGCUUUUAUUUAGGAAUAAACUUUCGUACGUGUACGAAACUGAAGGUACUAAACGAAUAAGCACCGGCUAACUCCGUGCCAGCAGCCGCGGUAAUACGGAGGGUGCAAGCGUUAUCCGGAUUUAUUGGGUUUAAAGGGUGCGCAGGCGGACCAAUUAGUCAGUGGUGAAAUCCCGAGGCUCAACCUCGGAACUGCCAUUGAUACUGUUGGUCUUGAAUACGGUUGAAGUAGGCGGAAUGUAGCAUGUAGCGGUGAAAUGCAUAGAGAUGCUACAGAACACCGAUCGCGAAAGGCAGCUUACUAAACCGAUAUUGACGCUCAGGCACGAAAGCGUGGGGAGCGAACAGGAUUAGAUACCCUGGUAGUCCACGCCGUAAACUAUGAUCACUCGUUGUUGGCAAUACACAGUCAGUGACCAAGCGAAAGCGAUAAGUGAUCCACCUGGGGAGUACGAUCGCAAGGUUGAAACUCAAAGGAAUUGACGGGGGCCCGCACAAGCGGUGGAGCAUGUGGUUUAACUCGAUGAUACGCGAGGAACCUUACCUGGGCUCAAAUGUAAGUUGACAGUUUCUGAAAGGGAAUUUUCUUCGGACAAUUUACAAGGUGCUGCAUGGUUGUCGCCAGCUCGUGCCGUGAGGUGUCGGGUUAAGUCCCAUAACGAGCGCAACCCCUACUCUUAGUUGCCAUCAGAUAAUGCUGGGGACUCUAGGAGAACUGCCUACGCAAGUAGAGAGGAAGGUGGGGAUGACGUCAAAUCAGCACGGCCCUUACGUCCAGGGCUACACACGUGCUACAAUGGCCGGUACAGAGGGCAGCCACCUGGUGACAGGGAGCGAAUCUCUAAAGCCGGUCUCAGUUCGGAUCGAAGUCUGCAACCCGACUUCGUGAAGCUGGAAUCGCUAGUAAUCGCGCAUCAGCCAUGGCGCGGUGAAUACGUUCCCGGGCCUUGUACUCACCGCCCGUCA
rnacentral:rRNA from 1 species